rnacentral:rRNA from 1 species
CACCGGCAGCUCAAGUGGUGGCCGUUUUUAUUGGGCCUAAAGCGUUCGUAGCCGGCUUGAUAAGUCUCUGGUGAAAUCCCAUAGCUUAACUAUGGGAAUUGCUGGAGAUACUAUCAGGCUUGAGAUCGGGAGAGGUUAGGGGUACUCCCAGGGUAGGGGUGAAAUCCUAUAAUCCUGGGAGGACCACCUGUGGCGAAGGCGUCUAGCUGGAACGAACCUGACGGUGAGGGACGAAAGCCAGGGGC